GCCGGGCGGCGUGCUAUACAUGCAAGUCGAACGAACUCUGGUAUUGAUUGGUGCUUGCAUCAUGAUUUACAUUUGAGUGAGUGGCGAACUGGUGAGUAACACGUGGGAAACCUGCCCAGAAGCGGGGGAUAACACCUGGAAACAGAUGCUAAUACCGCAUAACAACUUGGACCGCAUGGUCCGAGUUUGAAAGAUGGCUUCGGCUAUCACUUUUGGAUGGUCCCGCGGCGUAUUAGCUAGAUGGUGGGGUAACGGCUCACCAUGGCAAUGAUACGUAGCCGACCUGAGAGGGUAAUCGGCCACAUUGGGACUGAGACACGGCCCAAACUCCUACGGGAGGCAGCAGUAGGGAAUCUUCCACAAUGGACGAAAGUCUGAUGGAGCAACGCCGCGUGAGUGAAGAAGGGUUUCGGCUCGUAAAACUCUGUUGUUAAAGAAGAACAUAUCUGAGAGUAACUGUUCAGGUAUUGACGGUAUUUAACCAGAAAGCCACGGCUAACUACGUGCCAGCAGCCGCGGUAAUACGUAGGUGGCAAGCGUUGUCCGGAUUUAUUGGGCGUAAAGCGAGCGCAGGCGGUUUUUUAAGUCUGAUGUGAAAGCCUUCGGCUCAACCGAAGAAGUGCAUCGGAAACUGGGAAACUUGAGUGCAGAAGAGGACAGUGGAACUCCAUGUGUAGCGGUGAAAUGCGUAGAUAUAUGGAAGAACACCAGUGGCGAAGGCGGCUGUCUGGUCUGUAACUGACGCUGAGGCUCGAAAGUAUGGGUAGCAAACAGGAUUAGAUACCCUGGUAGUCCAUACCGUAAACGAUGAAUGCUAAGUGUUGGAGGGUUUCCGCCCUUCAGUGCUGCAGCUAACGCAUUAAGCAUUCCGCCUGGGGAGUACGGCCGCAAGGCUGAAACUCAAAGGAAUUGACGGGGGCCCGCACAAGCGGUGGAGCAUGUGGUUUAAUUCGAAGCUACGCGAAGAACCUUACCAGGUCUUGACAUACUAUGCAAAUCUAAGAGAUUAGACGUUCCCUUCGGGGACAUGGAUACAGGUGGUGCAUGGUUGUCGUCAGCUCGUGUCGUGAGAUGUUGGGUUAAGUCCCGCAACGAGCGCAACCCUUAUUAUCAGUUGCCAGCAUUAAGUUGGGCACUCUGGUGAGACUGCCGGUGACAAACCGGAGGAAGGUGGGGAUGACGUCAAAUCAUCAUGCCCCUUAUGACCUGGGCUACACACGUGCUACAAUGGAUGGUACAACGAGUUGCGAACUCGCGAGAGUAAGCUAAUCUCUUAAAGCCAUUCUCAGUUCGGAUUGUAGGCUGCAACUCGCCUACAUGAAGUCGGAAUCGCUAGUAAUCGCGGAUCAGCAUGCCGCGGUGAAUACGUUCCCGGGCCUUGUACACACCGCCCGUCACACCAUGAGAGUUUGUAACACCCAAAGUCGGUGGGGUAACCUUUUAGGAACCAGCCGCCUAAGGUGACAGGAAUUGG
rnacentral:rRNA from 1 species